UAUUCUGUGGCUUGAUUGGUUAAAGCGCCAGACUAGUGAUAUGGAGUUGUGGGUUUGAAUCCCAACAAAACAA
rnacentral:tRNA from 1 species